UAGGACACCUACACAUCUAAAUGUUCCUCUAUUGACAAAGUCUUAUUACAUUAAUUACUACAAUCUUUAAGUAAAUAGAAAAAUUUGUUAAACAUCACUGAUAUAUUCAUGAAGUGGUAAGCUCCCAGGAAUGAGAACCCAGGUUCAAAAUUUCCCCAAGAUGCGUGAUGAAGGCCAGAGGGUAUAUCAGCCAAAAUGUUCUCAUUCCUAAGGUCACUGUGAAGGUGCAUGGCUCAGUGGCUAGAGCAUUGAGCUUACGAUCAUGAGGUUGUAAGUUUGAUUCCCUGACUGGGCUGCGAGUUGUGUUCUUGAGCAAGACACUUUAUUUCAUAUUGCUUCAGUUCACUCAGCUGUAGAAAUGAGUUGUGAUAUCACUGGUGCCAAGCUGUAUCGACCUUUGCCUUUCCCUUGGAUAACAUUGGUAGUGUAGAGAGAGGAGGCUGGUAUGCAUGGGCAACUGCAAGUCUUCCAUAAACAACCUUGCCCAGACUUGUGCCUCGGAGGGUAACUUUGUAGGUGCAAUCCAAUGGUCAUUUAUGAUUGAAGGGGGUCCCCGAUUCAGGUCACUGCCUGGAAUUGAACUUGGAAUGUUGGGGUUAGUAGCCUGCGCUCUUAACCACUAUGCUAUAUGCCCAUGGACGUAGUGGUUAAGAGCACAGGCUACUAACCCCAAGAUUCCGAGUUCAAUUUCAGGUAGUGACCUGAAUAAUAGUAAUAAUAAUAAUAAUAAUAAUAAUAAUAAUAAUAAUAACUUAGGAAUGAGAACCCAAGUUCGAAAUUUCCCCAAGACACCUGAUGAAAGCUGGAGGGUAUAUCAGCCGAAACGUUGUGUUAAGAACAAACAAGAUGAGGACAAAUAUCUGUCAAAUGUAAAUAAUGUACAUAAUUCCUCAUCUCUUCAAUAUAGAACUCCAUAAUUAACAAGUUCUUUAUGCAGAAGGCAUCCUGGGGAAAAUUCAUUUGUUAGUCUUUUGUUUGUACUAGCCAUUCUAGAUGUGGUUACUUUUAUGUACUUCACAAUAUUACUUUAAAAUCUUUAGUAAAAGUAGGCAGAUAAGCCAUAUAAACAUCACACGUAUUCAAAAUUAUUUAAUUAUACUUAUAGAACUGACACCCAACAUAGACAAAAUUUAAUUGACAUUGACAAUUCACCACCAAAAACAAUAUCUAGAAGAUAGAAUAAUGGUUGCAAGCAGGAGGAUUUUAUUUGGGAAGGGAACUAAUGCUUAUUAGCAGUAAGAAAGGCAUGGCUGUUAUUUCUUAAUUCCUAUGUAUUCCAACAUGCUUCAUGUCAAAAAACAAACAUUCCAAUUUGUGGUAAUUUGUUUAUGCAUUAUAAAAGUGUCAAACACAACUUAUCUUGAAUUACUGUUUUGAUCUUAAGACAUAACUAUUCUUUCUGGAGAACUUCACAAAUGGGUGGUUUCAAAUUAGAAUGCAGAUGAAGCACUCCUCACCCCUCAUGUAUCAACUCUUUAGAAUUAUGAAAAUUUAAUAUUUCCCUUAAAAUACUGUCGAAUGGUAUUUUUAAUCCUUUUCAGUAAUAGACCCCUUAAAUGUAUCUGUAGUAUUCUGUAUUAAGUUGAAUUAUUUAGUUUAUUUUAUAUCGCAAUUUGAUAACAAUAUUGUUAUUUGUUUUGUUCUAACAAAGGACUUCACUCCAAGAGCACCAGUUUUUUUACUGUUUGCUGAACUUAUAAGAUAAUGCAUAUAUGCUCCUUUAGUACCCAUAAUUGUUAUGUUUUGAAAUAUGUACUCUAUUCUUCAUAAAUAUAUUUAGUUGUUAUAUUUAUUGCUUAUAGUUUAGAUUUUGAGUGAAAUAAAAUCUUGUUUUAUUAGUAUUCUUUAUCCCAGUUUACAUCUAUUACAAACCAUGUUACUCCCUAUUUAUACUAAAAUCAUAAAAGAUUUAUGUUUUAAAUCUAUUUGUAGUUAUUUUUAAAUAAAAUGUUAACUAAAA